GGCUGUACUUCACAGCAAAAGAUGCAAACUCAGCAGCCUGCAACAAGUGCUUUAAGCUGAUACUGUGAUACUGUCAAAGGAGGUAACACCUCAAAUGUGAUAAAACACCUAGCGACGCAUAGCGUUUUUUUUAAAGCCGAGAAAUGCGCCGUGUUUGAUAGCUUGCAGCGAGACCUCACACCGUGCACAUCUACUGCGGGUGUGGUGCCUGUUAGCAACAUCCCCCAAAAACCCGAAGAGUAGAGUCCUGGCCCCUAGCCCUGUCAGCGUAGCAGAAAUGAUGACGGAUGAUGUUGGCAGCAGUUGCCGUUCUCCUCUGCUUUAUCACACAUUUGAUUUCCAUGUGUGACAACUGCAAGUGUCCAGAGUGAGGACAGACUGAGGGACUGCUGCACAUCAUCUGUGAGGCUUUGCACCCCUGAUGAUCCACCAGGACAAACUCAGCAGUGUGUGAGGAAGAGGAGGAGGAAGAGCCAGCAGCAGCUGACAGAUGGAGAGAAUAGACAGACUGUUCCCAGUUUGUGAAGGACUGCUAGAAAAUUUUAAAAUAACUAAUUGUCUGUCCUGAAUUAGUCUUAUUAGGUAAUGUUCAAAUAAUUUUAUCAUCCCAGUGUUUUCAGUGUGGGAUGAAGAACUCAUGGCCUUCAAGUUAUACACUAUGAAAGGCAGAAACAAGUUUAAUAUUCAGAAACCUAAAGUAUGUAUCAGCAGCAGAAUGGACCUAAAAAUAAAUGUCCAUGUUUGUUUCAGUUCUAUGAAGCUUUGAGUAUUUUAGUAGUUCUGCUGUGUUUGUUGUCUCAUAUUGCUGUAAUUGUUUAUCGGCUUUAUAUAUUUUGAGCUAAGUUGAUCUAUAGUGUUACAUCAUAUUCUAUAAGGAUGUUACGUGUUUGUAUACUUUCUGCCCAGUUUGACCCAUUUAGCAGAAGUCAGCCUGUUUAAGGCUCUCAUAUCUAUUCUGUAUGACUUAAAGCAGUUAUGACACGGUAUGAUUUUCUCACCCAAUAAAGG
ensembl:lncRNA